rnacentral:rRNA from 1 species
ACAUGCAAGUCGAGCGGUAACAUUUCUAGCUUGCUAGAAGAUGACGAGCGGCGGACGGGUGAGUAAUGCUUGGGAACAUGCCUUGAGGUGGGGGACAACAGUUGGAAACGACUGCUAAUACCGCAUAAUGUCUACGGACCAAAGGGGGCUUCGGCUCUCGCCUUUAGAUUGGCCCAAGUGGGAUUAGCUAGUUGGUGAGGUAAUGGCUCACCAAGGCGACGAUCCCUAGCUGGUUUGAGAGGAUGAUCAGCCACACUGGGACUGAGACACGGCCCAGACUCCUACGGGAGGCAGCAGUGGGGAAUAUUGCACAAUGGGCGCAAGCCUGAUGCAGCCAUGCCGCGUGUGUGAAGAAGGCCUUCGGGUUGUAAAGCACUUUCAGUCAGGAGGAAAGGUUAGUAGUUAAUACCUGCUAGCUGUGACGUUACUGACAGAAGAAGCACCGGCUAACUCCGUGCCAGCAGCCGCGGUAAUACGGAGGGUGCGAGCGUUAAUCGGAAUUACUGGGCGUAAAGCGUACGCAGGCGGUUUGUUAAGCGAGAUGUGAAAGCCCCGGGCUCAACCUGGGAACUGCAUUUCGAACUGGCAAACUAGAGUGUGAUAGAGGGUGGUA